ACGCUCGACACCUACUGGAGGCAGCAGUGGGGAAUAUUGCACAAUGGGGGAAACCCUGAUGCAGCGACGCCGCGUGAGCGAAGAAGUAUUUCGGUAUGUAAAGCUCUAUCAGCAGGGAAGAAGAAAGACGGUACCUGACUAAGAAGCCCCGGCUAACUACGUGGCAGCAGCCGCGGUAAUCUGAGCGGGCUGGCAAGGC
rnacentral:rRNA from 1 species